GAGUUAUCACUUCGAUCUAUGGUUGCUGGUGCUGAGAAAUGCCUCGAUGACAUUUUCAUUGUUAAAAAUGGACUAUGGAAACAAGAUCAGUCAACAUGUGUGAGUGCACCUUCACCAAUCCCACAAAUGCCUCUGCUCUCACGAAUUUAUUACCCUUGGGAGAGCCUCAGCAAGACAGUACUUGAUGCAUUGGAAGCAGACAAUAUUCUGCUUCCCUCUCAACGACAGGAAGUGGCACACAUGGCAGCGUCAUGGCCCUGCAUAUCCAUUGAAGGCACCUGGUUGGUAUCAUUGAGAACGAAGGGAGCCAGCAGGCAUAAAAAAAUCAAGAGGGCUACAUACAUAAAUGCGUGAGGCAAUGAGGGCCGCAGAUGAAUAUAGCAAGAAGU